AGAACGAACGCUGGCGGCAGGCUUAACACAUGCAAGUCGAGCGCCCCGCAAGGGGAGCGGCAGACGGGUGAGUAACGCGUGGGAACAUACCCUCCGGUUCGGAAUAGCUCAGGGAAACUUGGAUUAAUACCGGAUACGGCCUAGCGGCGAAAGAUUCAUCGCCGGAGGAUUGGCCCGCGUUCGAUUAGCUAGUUGGUGAGGUAACGGCUCACCAAGGCGACGAUCGAUAGCUGGUCUGAGAGGAUGAUCAGCCACAUUGGGACUGAGACACGGCCCAAACUCCUACGGGAGGCAGCAGUGGGGAAUAUGGACAAUGGGCGCAAGCCUGAUCCAGCCAUGCCGCGUGAGUGAUGACGGCCUUAGGGUUGUAAAGCUCUUUCGCUAGGGACGAUAAUGACGGUACCUAGACAAGAAGCCCCGGACUACUUCGUGCCAGCAGCCGC
rnacentral:rRNA from 1 species